GAUGAACGCUGGCGGCAGGCCUAAUACAUGCAAGUCGGACGGGAUUGAGAAGCUUGCUUUUCAUGAGAGUGGCGCACGGGUGCGUAACACGUAUGUAACCUACCUUAAUCAGGGGGAUAGCCUCUCGAAAGAGAGAUUAACACCGCAUAAAAUCAAUUUAUGGCAUCAUAGAAUGAUCAAAUAUUUAUAGGAUUAAGAUGGGCAUGCGGAACAUUAGCUAGUUGGUAAGGUAACGGCUUACCAAGGCUACGAUGUUUAGGGGAUCUGAGAGGAUGACCCCCCACACUGGAACUGAGACACGGACCAGACUCCUACGGGAGGCAGCAGUAAGGAAUAUUGGUCAAUGGGCGCAAGCCUGAACCAGCCAUGCCGCGUGCAGGAAGACGGCCCUACGGGUUGUAAACUGCUUUUGUACCGGAAUAAACCUUUGUAUGUAUACGAAGCUGAAUGUACGGUAAGAAUAAGGAUCGGCUAACUCCGUGCCAGCCGCCGCGGUAA
rnacentral:rRNA from 1 species